GACGGAGGAUGCAAGUGUUAUCCGGAAUCACUGGGCGUAAAGCGUCUGUAGGUGGUUUAAUAAGUCAACUGUUAAAUCUUGAGGCUCAACCUCAAAAUCGCAGUCGAAACUAUUAGGCUAGAGUAUAGUAGGGGUAAAGGGAAUUUCCAGUGGAGCGGUGAAAUGCGUAGAGAUUGGAAAGAACACCGAUGGCAGAAGGCACUUUACUGGGCUAUUACUAACACUCAGAGACGAAAGCUAAGGGUAGCAAAUGGG
rnacentral:rRNA from 1 species